AGUAGUUUGACUCCGUGGCUCAAGAACGAACGCUGGCGGCAGGCCUAACACAUGCAAGUCGAGCGCCCCAGCAAUGGGGAGCGGCAGACGGGUGAGUAACGCGUGGGUAUCUACCUAGUGGUGCGGAAUAGCCCAGGGAAACUUGGAGUAAUACCGCAUAAGCCCGAAAGGGGAAAGAUUUAUCGCCAUUAGAUGAGCCCGCGUUGGAUUAGCUAGUUGGUGGGGUAACGGCCCACCAAGGCGACGAUCCAUAGCUGGUCUGAGAGGAUGAUCAGCCACACUGGGACUGAGACACGGCCCAGACUCCUACGGGAGGCAGCAGGUGGGGAAUAUUGGACAAUGGGCGCAAGCCUGAUCCAGCCAUGCCGCGUGAGUGACGAAGGUCUUCGGAUUGUAAAGCUUCUUUGGCGGGGACGAUAAUGACGGUACCCGCAGAAUAAGCCCCGGCUAACUUCGUG
rnacentral:rRNA from 1 species